UACGAAGGGGGUUAGCGUUGCUCGGAAUCACUGGGCGUAAAGGGUGCGUAGGCGGGUUUUUAAGUCAGGGGUGAAAUCCUGGAGCUCAACUCCAGAACUGCCUUUGAUACUGAAGAUCUUGAGUCCGGGAGAGGUGAGUGGAACUGCGAGUGUAGAGGUGAAAUUCGUAGAUAUUCGCAAGAACACCAGUGGCGAAGGCGGAACUCUGGGCCGGAACUGACGCUGAGGAGCGAAAGCGUGGGGAGCGAACAGG
rnacentral:rRNA from 1 species